AUUCAUUACAGAAAUCCUUGUCUCUCUUUGUUACUAUUCUCUCACUAAAAAAAUACGGCGGUGGACGGUGGUGACAUUGAAAACUGGCACCCUUCUCACGGUGGUGACGCUAUUCUCAUUAGUACGGUGGUGGUGACAACGACGGUGAGUUGGUGAUGAUUUGGUUGUGGAAUUCCCAAUUUUCCCUAAAUUUGGUGACGAUCAAAUCAGAUGCUUUUCUGGAAAGUACAGAUUGGUGGUAAAACAAAUUUAUGAGGAUAGCUCAUUCAUUUUUCAGUUCUUGGGUACUUCCGGUGGUCUUGGAGCAGCUAGUUUAUCAGCGUCACUUCUGACAUCUAUUCUUCUAACCACAUUAGAGGAUCUCCUUGCAUUUGGCCUUUGUUCUGCCGACGGGUGGUUAGUAAAGAAAAUCAAUGGCAUCAAAAGGUCAUGGUAAUGGACGGCGUAAGAAAGGUAAGAAAGGACCUGAUAAUCUUCGUGGAGGUCAAUAUACAACAACACCAUCAUCACCUGUUACCACUACUAUUCAACCAGCUACUACAAAUCUUCCUCCUCCAAGUUCAACUAUUUCAGUACCAAAGGCAUUUUUCAUGCCCCCACCAUCUAACCAGUUCCACACCUCUUCUUCCCAUACUAGUCUGCAUGUUAGCUCUUCAUCUAUACCUUCGACAUCAUCCACACCUAGCCUUUCUGGAUUGAGAAUUGGAGGUCCUAUUACAUCAUCAUCGCCAUCGCCAUCCAUUGAUAGUGCUACAACGUUUAAUGCUACAACAGUUGCUUCCUAGAAUCUAAAAUUUAAACAGGUAUUAGAACAUGACAUCCACAGGGGGAUAAUUAUCGUCCCUUAUGGUAAUGGGUAAUUAACCCUUAUGUUUUUGCUUAAUUUUUAACGAAAGCUAAGAUGAUUUAAUAGAAUUUUAUUGAAGGUUCAUUCCCACAUAUGCCGCUGGGCAUAUGAUUAUAGAAGCAAUUAAACCCUUUUUUGUGGAACCGUGGGGUAGUUGGAACGAGAUUCGCUACGAAAUCAGAAUUCUGAUGUGGAAAUAAUUUACGGAGAAGCGUUCAUGGAAGUUUUGUCAUAAAAAUAAAAUACAAGACAUUUUCAAGUUGAAAGCAGCUCUACGAAUCAAAGAACACUUGUAUGAGGUCAGGAGAAAAUUGGUAAAACCUGGUUGGAUGACAAAUGAAGUGUAGGUCAAGUUCUUGAAAAUGUGGGAUACUCCUGAAUAUAAGGGAAGAGGGAACGGGCAAAGACAAAUAGAGCCUUUGAAAUGGGUGGCUCAUUGCACACCGGAGGUUUGAUGAGUUCCGCUACCCACCGACGAUGACUGCUACAGACACAGGUGUUAAGGCUAACACUGCCUGCAUGAUUUCCUGUACACAUUUAGAAGGAAAACAAGGCACCUGUACAAGACAAAAUGUUACAAAGCUACAAGUCGGUGAGAAAGGAAAAGAAGUUUCAAUCAUUAGGCAUCUUCUCACGUUCUGCUGGUAGUAGUAGACCAACUAUAUGAAUUUUUAAAUGGGAGAAAAGAGUCAAUUUUUCUUGAGGUCUUCAAAGAGAUACAUAAGAAGAAAAAAAGGACGGUACAAGAGAAGAUUGGAUCGAAACGCGUGCUAAGGAUGCAUAUAAAGGAUUUCAAAAAAGCAUAGAAAAUUGACGUCAAACUCAACCUACUUCAGAGGAUGGUAGUAUGGUCCAACCAUCACCCGCAGAUAUGACUAACAUGUGGACAGCUGUGGUAGGUGGUCCAAAGAAAGGUAGAACCUAUGGGUGUGGGGUUCUCCAAUCCUCAAGUAGUCCUUUGUUGUUUCCCAAUUCCUUUUCUACUUUGCAAACUAUGGAAGAAAUGGAAGUGAUGAGAAAGCAACUUGCAGAGUUGACACAACAGUGUGCUGCUAAUGAUGCUAAGUUUGUCAAGUUUGCUAAGUUUGAGGAGUUGGUCAAGAAGCACAUGCCUCAAGUAUUUGAUGAUGAGGAAGAGAGUGAACCUGAUGAUGAUUAUAUUGUAGUUGUUCUUGUUUUUGGUUGUGACUUUUAGACUUGAAGUUCUCUUGAGAUGUUUAAAAUAUUUGACUCGAUGUUUGUUUUGAAUUGUGACGUUAUUAAGACUUAAAGUUUUCUUGAGAUGUUUAAACUAUUUGACUCGAAAUUUGUUUUGGAUGUUUCAAGGUGGUUGAAUUUUUAAAUUUUUAUUGUGUUUGA